GGGACUGCUCCAGCAGUCAUCUUGCCACUAGUGAGAUCAUCAGCAUAACGAAACCUCUUCAUGGUUUUCCAAGAGCAGCUUUCUUCCCUAGUUUCGGCACCACUUAGCCCUUCUGCAAAUGCUUUUAAAAGUAGCCGUGUUGCACCCUUUCCUAAUCACAAACGCUGCUACAGUCUUCAUUCCUGUACAUAUAGUUCAGGUCAUUUGCACAGACCUUGCUACACUGUAGCCACCUGGCUGAGCAGGUGCCACAUUGUACAACUUGUAUAAUGCUUCUUCUGUGUGAGUAACGUCUGCGCCUGUGUCUUCUGCCUGCCCGGCACUAACUCACAGUACAAUGUAUUUCUCAAUUUUAUCGGUGCCCCUUCCUUCAUUAACUGCCUGCACAACUGACUUGCUCUUUAGGUGACCCGCUAAGAAGGGCAGUGCUGCUGACAGACAACAGAAGGCCUUGGUGGACCUGGUUCCACAUCUUUUGUCUCCUGAAUUGGACAGCUGGACUUCUGAGACAGCUUAAAGUCCUCUAAUACCUGUACAGUGCUUGCUCUCUGUGGUGACCUAGUCGCUAGGACCCAGGCAAGACAGGUCAGAGUAACCUCUUCGAUAGCUGUCAGCCCAGCCACUUAUCCUAGGGAAGGAAAACCUGGGGAGCUCUGGUCUCUUUUUCCUCUUCAACUUGCCUCUUUCCUGAUACAUCUUGAUUCGGCGGCGUUCAUAGGGUCUGAUGAGCACAGUCUAAUGCCAUUGCUUCCUCCUGCACAAUGGCGACUUGGCCUCUAAGUAACUGUCUUCAUUAGUGCUAUAGAGCACUCUACAUCAGUAUUUGUCUCUAUAUUAUUGCUUGGCAGGACUGACAAAGGCUAGAUCCUUAAACAUUAGCCCAUCUGAGACACGUCAUUGGAGCCCAUGGAAUCCUACACCUUGUACAGAUCCAGUCCUUUAGAGGCACUGGCUGAGGUUCCCUUGGUUCUUCCGUUGAAUCUCAGGGGGCAGUCUUUGAGCUCCUUGGUUUUUACAGCAACCAAGCAGAGUGGUUAUUAGAAAGUCAUUGUCUCGAUAAGCCCUUUCUGUGCAAAGAUUUUCUCCCAUUAGUGGCAUCACUGUCAGUUUCCACUUCUGAUGGCAUGAAAUGAACAUGUGGUUAGGCAGUCUGUUGGGUGGGGGUUAUCGGAAAACAGUUCCCUGGCUUUUCUUCGUUUUUGUUUCUGGCAUGAGCACUAAAUCCUGAGCCUUGGCACUGAGAUACGUGCCUUUAUUUCAUUCUACUUUAUUUUUUCCACUUCACUUCAUUCAUUUCAUUUCGAGACAGUCUUGCUAAGCCACUAAAUCGCCCAGGCUGGACUUGAAUUUGUGAUGCUCCUGCUUCAACUUCCCACAGUGCUGUCAUUACAGGUGCCUGCCACCACGCCAGGCCCAUUUUCUAUUCUGAGGCGCAUAAGUCUCAAUCCAGGCUGUGAGUCUUUCUUUGACUUGUCUAGUAUGCUGAGGAAUCUACAAUUUCCUGAUAUUUGAGAGUGCAGCAAAAGAAAAGCUUCCCACCUUGUCUUUCUGGUACUGGUUUAAAAUCUUAUGGCUCCAAGAGCUGCCAACUUCUACAAGAGGGGAAUAUCUGCAGUAAAAAUGAUCUCAGCACGCGGUUGCUGAGCUUCAGAUCCGGAAAUUCUCAACCUCUUUCAGCCAUCACCCAAAUCUCUACAAACUGACGGGUAUGAUGAAUCUGGAAACCAAGAAGGUGUUUCCUGUGGAGCCCAUUUGUCUUCUUCCUGCCCGGCACACGGUUGCGCAACAGGCUGAUCUGCGAGCCCAGCCAGGCAACACGCACACAGGGAAACAAACCAACCUCCACUGUGCACCUGCAGCUCCGCGGAAGACACGCGGAAUACGGGCCACGCCUCUACUGACUGAGAAGGUCGGGACCGAAGGGAGCCAGCCUCUCUGCCGGGGACUCCUCUCUCUGCGGGGCCCCACGAGCCUGGUCAGAGACCUGGAACCAAAGGGCCUGGGCGCCUCACCUCCUCACCCACCGAGAGCCAAGGCGGCGCUUUCUGAGCCCAAAGGGAACGGGACGCACGCGCCAGAGGAGCGCUUGUGCUGAGCUGAGGCGCCCACCGCGCUAGAUCAGGCCCGAGCACGGGCCAGUUUCCUGGGGGCCUGGCCUCGGAGCGCCGCGCACGGCGCAGGGAAAAGAACCCUCACCCUCUGGCAGGUGUCUCCAGGACCUUGGGCUGCACUGCUCUCGCUCCUCUGCUUGGGCGGUGCCUCUCCAGUCAACGACCUUCAGGGACCUUCCUGGACGACCAGGAGGUGUGUCUUCGCAAGGACUCUCUGUCAGACCCUCAGGAACGCAACACCCAUUGUGUCCGCACCCCUUAGAGAAGGCGGAGGUGCCCAAUGCCUUUCCGGCUGGCUCCUCAGGGUUGCUCUGAUGGACAACUGGGUCUUGGGUCAGCCAGAAGACCUCCGGAACCACCUAGGCAAGGGAAACUCUUCUGGGAAGUGCGGUGGCCCCUUGUGUUUGCCAGACUGUGUGCACCCUGCAGGGGUCUUCUUCAAGGGCUCUGAUCACCUCGCAGAAGCUGGAGAACCAGUGUGUGUGGCUGGCAAGGUGAGAGAGAGAAGAGCAUGCAGAGAAUGGAUCAAAGGAAACGAAGGGGAAGGUUCUCCACAGCUUUGCAGAGUGUUGUGGCGAUACAGGAGCUAAGGCCACAGAUGGGAAUCCUGAAGAUCACGGACUCCAUUAGUGGAUGUCAGGGAAUGCACCGUCAUACUGUCAUCUUCAGAAGUCGGAAAGCCGGAGCACUGUUUCCUCCAGCAACUUUAAUGGAGGCCUGAUGUUUUCCCGAGGGGCUCACGCAUCGGAAAGAAUGCUGUGGGGCUGGGGAUUUAGCUAAGCGGCGUAAGUGCCUGCCUUGCAAGCCUGUGGUUGUGUUUGAUCCCGGUACCAAUUCAAAAAAUAGUAAUAAUAAAAAAAAGAAAACUCUG